GACGAACGCUGGCGGCGUGCCUAAUACAUGCAAGUAGAACGCACAGUUUAUACCGUAGCUUGCUACACCAUAGACUGUGAGUUGCGAACGGGUGAGUAACGCGUAGGUAACCUGCCUGGUAGCGGGGGAUAACUAUUGGAAACGAUAGCUAAUACCGCAUAAUAUUAAUUAUUGCAUGAUAAUUAAUUGAAAGGUGCAAUUGCACCACUACCAGAUGGACCUGCGUUGUAUUAGCUAGUAGGUGAGGUAACGGCUCACCUAGGCGACGAUACAUAGCCGACCUGAGAGGGUGAUCGGCCACACUGGGACUGAGACACGGCCCAGAAUCCUACGGGAGGCAGCAGUAGGGAAUCUUCGGCAAUGGACGAAAGUCUGACCGAGCAACGCCGCGUGAGUGAAGAAGGUUUUCGGAUCGUAAAGCUCUGUUGUAAGAGAAGAACGGGUGUGAGAGUGGAAAGUUCACACUGUGACGGUAUCUUACCAGAAAGGGACGGCUAACUACGUG
rnacentral:rRNA from 1 species